CAAUAGCGUAUAUUAAAGUUGUUGCAGUUAAAAGGCUCGUAGUUGGACCUUGGACCUGGACAGGCGGUCCGCCUCACGGCGUGUACUGUCUUGCUGGGUCUUUCCUCUUGGUGAUCUGUUGUUUCGGCAGCAGGGAACCAGGACUUUUACUUUGAAAAAAUUAGAGUGUUCAAAGCAGGCUCGACGCCGGAAUAUAUUAGCAUGGAAUAAUAAAAUAGGACGUGCGGUUCUAUUUUGUUGGUUUUUGGAAUCGCCGUAAUGAUUAAUAGGGACAGUCGGGGGCAUUAGUACUCACAUGCUAGAGGUGAAAUUCUUGGAUUUUGUGAAGACUAACUUCUGCGAAAGCAUUUGCCAAGGAUGUUUUCAUUAA
rnacentral:rRNA from 1 species